rnacentral:rRNA from 1 species
UACGGGGGGGCAAGCGUUGUUCGGAAUUACUGGGCGUAAAGGGCGCGUAGGCGGUUUGCUAAGUUGGAUGAGAAAACUCUGGGCUUAACCCAGAGCCUGCAUCCAAAACUGGCAAACUUGAGUACUGGAGGGGAAAGCGGAAUUCCUGGUGUAGCGGUGAAAUGCGUAGAUAUCAGGAGGAACACCGGUGGCGAAGGCGGCUUUCUGGACAGUAACUGACGCUGAGGCGCGAAAGCUAGGGGAGCAAACAGG